rnacentral:lncRNA from 1 species
UCUAAAUCAAAUGGUUAAGCAAAUUGUAUUCACGACUUAUGUAACAAUAACUGGAAGUAAUCAACUCAUUUCGCAUAUAUAAUCAUGGUUUUGAAUACACCCUUAGCCAAAAACGAAAUUAGCCAAUCAUACUUAAAGCAAAACAAAGAUUACAUGAAUUAGACAUUACAAUCCAAAGAAAGAAAACACCUAGAAUGCUCCAACUUGGCAGCAAGUGCAUCCAAGAUUCCUCUUUUCCCUUGCUUGCGGCAGAUUGGGUUAUGGACAGGUUUUGGGUAGUUUUAUGGUGUAGAAUGGAUGGGGAAUGGUAUGGAAAGGUUUAGGGUGAGUGUGGAGGAGUGUUUGAUGGUUGGAAGGUGGUAGAGAACUCGGCAAAGAUGGUGGAAUAAGGUGGAGUGGCUGUUAUGUUUUCUGGGCACUAGAAUGGUGUUUUUGGGGUGUUUUGCUGCCUAGGGUGAGUAUGGACGAAUUUUCUGCAUGAAUGAUGAAUAUGGGAGGUUCAACCCUUUGCCAAGGGUUGUAAACAUGUAUAUAUAGGCCCCAAAAACCCUAGAGAAUCAAAUUAGGCAGUAGGGAAAUGCACAGCAAGGAGGGUGAAUUUGUGGUGUGCAAUGGUCCAAGGAUGAAAAUGAAGCAAUGAUGCAAAGUAUGGAGGGUAAAAUGGAGUGGUAUUUCAGCUAGGGAGCAUGAAUGAUUGUGUUCAUUGCAUGGAAAUGAAAAGGGGAGGUGAAAUGUUUAAGAAAUUAGUUAAAGGUGCAGCAACAUGUGUUGCACAAGGCAUUGGAUCCCAAAUGUGGAUGAUGGAGCA